CUGGAAACCGCUUUGGUUUAGGAAAGCGGUUUCCGGUCUCUUUCCCGGUUUUCAGCGGUUCCCUCUGGUUCUUUUUUUUAUUUUUUUUAAUUUUUUCCCCCCCCGACCCAGACCUGAUUCAUUUUCUCUAGGUCUGCUUAUAGUGAUGAUUGUCAAAUUUUAAUCUUAUCAAAAUAGGUUUCGUUUUUUUCUCUUUGAAAGGUGCAUUAGGGUUUAGAAGAUUGAGAAUGGCCGGCGAGAAGAAAAUCGAGAACUCUGAGACAAUUAUUGCUGGAUUGAAGUCAGAAUCUGGUACUACAUUUGCUGACAAAGAUGUGUCUUCUCGGCAAGUAGGGAUGACAUCUGAUGCAACUCCCUUCUUCCCAUCGUUAGCGAUAGCUACUUCUAGCAUGAAAUGUGAGACUGAUCAAGCUUUAAUAGGAGAGCAUAUGGCUUAUAAUCCAUCUAUGGGCUGCUACAAUUAUUACUAUCCA